UAAGCAAAACAAACAUUCAUGAGAAUUAUUAAUCAGAUAGCAAAAUGAAGUAACUUAGCAUUGGAUGGAAAUAUUUUCCAGUAAAUUCCUCUGCUUAAAUGAAAAAUAAAUAAAUAAAGAUUAUCUCAAAAUAAAUAAAUAAACUCUUCCUUCUCUCCUAUAUGUUGAGAUGGCAAUUCAUAAACCUUUACAUUCCCACCCCUGCCAAAGCAAAUCAUUUUUGCCAAGCAUACUAUGUUCUUUUCUGAAUAUCUACUACUCAGUGAACAUGCAGAUAUUAAAUAGAACAAUGUACUUGGCAUGACUUUUAACCAUACACUGGAACAGUAAAUCUUGUAUUUUCUAGUCAAUUUCUUAGCUACAAAUGACUCAGUUCAAAUGAAGAAAAUGUUUUCUUUAGUUCCAUUCAGUUGAAAACAAAAUUAAUUUUAGAAGUGUUUUGUAUGUUAAAAGUAUCAGUAUUCACUCUUUUGCAAAGACUGGAAAUACCAGACCCUCUCAUAACAGCAGAGGCACUCUUAAAACGCGAACUGUUCUAAAAAAAGACCACUUUACACAUACACCUGACAAAGAAAUAAAAAAUAUCGCUUAACUUCCACUUGCAGAUAGGAUUAAAGAAUUACUUUUUUCAAAGUAUAAACAUCAGUAGUUGUAAUUUCAUUUUUUAAAUUAUUGUACAUAUUUAUAGAUAAUAAGAACCUUACCCAGACUGCACUGAAAAGGCAAAAUCAGUUCCCCAUUGCAACUUUGGUACAGGAAAGUCAGUUACAAGAAUGACUUAAAAUUAAAAGUUAAAAAAAAAAAAGAAGUACUUCAAACCCAAACAUGGAUAUACAUCCACCUAGGCUGGGGUGGAACGAGGGAGUAAUCAUCUUGCUCAUUUCAUUACUUUCAUUUUAAAAUUGAUAAAAUAAAUACAGAGGAUGCUCAUAAGUUAGGGAGAUUUAACAAUGCAGCCACAAGCAGUCAUGGUCUUACAAACACCAGAUCAUAUUCCUAUGUUCACAGCAUUAUUAGAUGUAUUGCUUUUAAAUACUGCUGUAUCCUAAGAUCUUCAGUUUUAAGCUCAUGGUAGGUAGAAAGAUUUUUUUUCUUUCUACCUCCCAUAGGAGACAGAAUGGGGGUUUCUUCUGUUUCUGGUAGCUGAACCAGCAUAAUAAAUCUGGGCUGGCAUACAUGUAAUCCCAUGACAUAUUCUUUUCAAUGUUCCUUUAGGUUUGGUUUCCUGACAGCAGAGGUGGCAGCGUGUCACAGAAGGGAAGAAGUUUAACACUAGAUCAUGACCUGGAACCAGUUCCACCAAGGAGGAGUCCACCAGAAGGGUAACCUACAGGAUGCAUCAACUCUGAAUACAACACAAUACCAAGAAGCGCAGUAAUCUACAAAAUUAGGAGUUCAGCACAUUAGAAAGGCCACCCCCAACCUGUCAAAGGAUUAGCAACUUGAAGUGGAAGUGUCACCUUCUUCAGCAUAAAAGAUGCUUCCUCAGGCAUCACAAUCUCUCUACUCUUAACUAAGACAGCAGAGAUCUCCUACUUGAAGCAAUGAAAUCCAAGAGCUAGAAGAACAGUAAUUUAACAAGUAAAAAA